rnacentral:rRNA from 1 species
AUUGAACGCUGGCGGCAUGCCUUACACAUGCAAGUCGAACGGCAGCACGGGUGCUUGCACCUGGUGGCGAGUGGCGAACGGGUAAGUAAUACAUCGGAACAUGUCCUGUAGUGGGGGAUAGCCCGGCGAAAGCCGGAUUAAUACCGCAUACGAUCUACGGAUGAAAGCGGGGGACCUUCGGGCCUCGCGCUAUAGGGUUGGCCGAUGGCUGAUUAGCUAGUUGGUGGGGUAAAGGCCUACCAAGGCGACGAUCAGUAGCUGGUCUGAGAGGACGACCAGCCACACUGGGACUGAGACACGGCCCAGACUCCUACGGGAGGCAGCAGUGGGGAAUUUUGGACAAUGGGCGAAAGCCUGAUCCAGCAAUGCCGCGUGUGUGAAGAGGGCCUUCGGGUUGUAAAGCACUUUUGUCCGGAAAGAAAUCCUUGGCUCUAAUACAGCCGGGGGAUGACGGUACCGGAAGAAUAAGCACCGGCUAACUACGUG